rnacentral:rRNA from 1 species
AUCCGGGUUGCGGACAGUGUCUGGUGGGUAGUUUGACUGGGGCGGUCUCCUCCUAAAGAGUAACGGAGGAGCACGAAGGUUGGCUAAUCCUGGUCGGACAUCAGGAGGUUAGUGCAAUGGCAUAAGCCAGCUUGACUGCGAGCGUGACGGCGCGAGCAGGUGCGAAAGCAGGUCAUAGUGAUCCGGUGGUUCUGAAUGGAAGGGCCAUCGCUCAACGGAUAAAAGGUACUCCGGGGAUAACAGGCUGAUACCGCCCAAGAGUUCAUAUCGACGGCGGUGUUUGGCACCUCGAUGUCGGCUCAUCACAUCCUGGGGCUGAAGUAGGUCCCAAGGGUAUGGCUGUUCGCCAUUUAAAGUGGUACGCGAGCUGGGUUUAGAACGUCGUGAGACAGUUCGGUCCCUAUCUGCCGUGGGCGCUGGAGAACUGAGGGGGGCUGCUCCUAGUACGAGAGGACCGGAGUGGACGCAUCACUGGUGUUCGGGUUGUCAUGCCAAUGGCACUGCCCGGUAGCUAAAUGCGGAAGAGAUAAGUGCUGAAAGCAUCUAAGCACGAAACUUGCCCCGAGAUGAGUUCUCCCUGAGACUUAAGGUCUCCUGAAGGAACGUUGAAGACGACGACGUUGAUAGGCCGGGUGUGUAAGCGCAGCGAUGCGUUGAGCUAACCGGUACUAAUGAACCGUGAGGCUUAACCUU